rnacentral:rRNA from 1 species
AGUGAACGCUGGCGGUAGGCCUAACACAUGCAAGUCGAACGGCAGCACAGUAAGAGCUUGCUCUUACGGGUGGCGAGUGGCGGACGGGUGAGGAAUACAUCGGAAUCUACUUUUUCGUGGGGGAUAACGUAGGGAAACUUACGCUAAUACCGCAUACGACCUACGGGUGAAAGCAGGGGAUCUUCGGACCUUGCGCGAUUGAAUGAGCCGAUGUCGGAUUAGCUAGUUGGCGGGGUAAAGGCCCACCAAGGCGACGAUCCGUAGCUGGUCUGAGAGGAUGAUCAGCCACACUGGAACUGAGACACGGUCAAGACUCCUACGGGAGGCAGCAGUGGGGAAUAUUGGACAAUGGGCGCAAGCCUGAUCCAGCCAUACCGCGUGGGUGAAGAAGGCCUUCGGGUUGUAAAGCCCUUUUGUUGGGAAAGAAAAGCAGCAGGUUAAUACCCAGCUGUUCUGACGGUACCCAAGGAAUAAGCACCGGCUAACUUCGUG